rnacentral:tRNA from 1 species
UGGCUCAGAGGGUAAAGCAUCCGCCUGCAAUGCGGGAGGCCGGGGUUUGAUCCCCG